GAAUAUUGGACAAUGGGCGCAAGCCUGAUCCAGCCAUGCCGCGUGAGUGAUGAAGGUCUUAGGAUUGUAAAGCUCUUUCACCGAUGAAGAUAAUGACGGUAGUCGGAGAAGAAGCCCCGGCUAACUUCGUGCCAGCAGCCGCGGUAAUACGAAGGGGGCUAGCGUUGUUCGGAAUUACUGGGCGUAAAGCGCACGUAGGCGGAUAUUUAAGUCAGGGGUGAAAUCCCGCAGCUCAACUGCGGAACUGCCUUUGAUACUGGGUGUCUAGAGUAUGGAAGAGGUAAGUGGAAUUGCGAGUGUAGAGGUGAAAUUCGUAGAUAUUCGCAGGAACACCAGUGGCGAAGGCGGCUUACUGGUCCAUUACUGACGCUGAGGUGCGAAAGCGUGGGGAGCAAACAG
rnacentral:rRNA from 1 species